rnacentral:rRNA from 1 species
CUACGUGCCAGCAGCCGCGGUAAUACGGAAGGUCCAGGCGUUAUCCGGAUUUAUUGGGUUUAAAGGGAGCGUAGGCUGGAGAUUAAGUGUGUUGUGAAAUGUAGACGCUCAACGUCUGAAUUGCAGCGCAUACUGGUUUCCUUGAGUACGCACAACGUUGGCGGAAUUCGUCGUGUAGCGGUGAAAUGCUUAGAUAUGACGAAGAACUCCGAUUGCGAAGGCAGCUGACGGGAGCGCAACUGACGCUUAAGCUCGAAGGUGCGGGUAUCAAACAGGAUUAGAUACCCUGGUAGUCCGCACAGUAAACGAUGGAUGCCCGCUGUUGGUACCUGGUAUCAGCGGCUAAGCGAAAGCAUUAAGCAUCCCACCUGGGGAGUACGCCGGCAACGGUGAAACUCAAAGGAAUUGACGGGGGCCCGCACAAGCGGAGGAACAUGUGGUUUAAUUCGAUGAUACGCGAGGAACCUUACCCGGGCUUGAAC